rnacentral:rRNA from 1 species
AUUGAACGCUGGCGGAAUGCUUUACACAUGCAAGUCGAACGGCAACACGGGGCCAGCUCUGGUGGCGUGUGGAACGGGUGUGUAUUGUACCUCGACGCGUCCCCUGGCGUGGGGUAUCUCGUCGCAAGAGUUGCUCUUAUCGCACAUGCUCUCUGGAUAUAAGCGCGGGACACCAUCGCCCCUCGCGCGUGCGGCGCGCCCGAUGUCAGAUUAGGUAGUUGGUGGGGUAAAGGCCUACCAAGCCGACGAUCUGUAGCUGGUCUGAGAGGACGACCAGCCACACUGGGACUGAGACACGGCCCAGACUCCUACGGGAGGCAGCAGUGGGGAAUUUUGGACAAUGGGCGCAAGCCUGAUCCAGCCAUGCCGCGUGCAGGACGAAGGCCUUCGGGUUGUAAACUGCUUUUGUACGGAACGAAAAGGCUCUGGCUAAUACCUGGGGCUCAUGACGGUACCGUAAGAAUAAGCACCGGCUAACUACGUG